rnacentral:tRNA from 1 species
UGAUCUAUUGACUAAUAGGCAAGUCCCCUAGAUUUGGUCUAGGUCUAUAUACGUUCGAAUCGUAUUAGAUCAG